rnacentral:rRNA from 1 species
AUUGAACGCUGGCGGCAUGCUUUACACAUGCAAGUCGAACGGUAACAGGCCUUCGGGUGCUGACGAGUGGCGAACGGGUGAGUAAUGCAUCGGAACGUGCCCAGUCGUGGGGGAUAACGCAGCGAAAGCUGUGCUAAUACCGCAUACGAUCUGCGGAUGAAAGCGGGGGACCUUGUAGCAAUAUGGGGCAUCGCGCGAUGGGAGCGGCCGAUGUCAGAUUAGGUAGUUGGUAGGGUAAAGGCCUACCAAGCCGACGAUCUGUAGCUGGUCUGAGAGGACGACCAGCCACACUGGGACUGAGACACGGCCCAGACUCCUACGGGAGGCAGCAGUGGGGAAUUUUGGACAAUGGGCGCAAGCCUGAUCCAGCAAUGCCGCGUGCAGGAAGAAGGCCUUCGGGUUGUAAACUGCUUUUGUACGGAACGAAACGGCUCUGGUUAAUACCUGGGGCACAUGACGGUACCGUAAGAAUAAGCACCGGCUAACUACGUGCCAGCAGCCGCCGUAA